CCUACGGGAGGCUGCAGUGGGGAAUCUUGGACAAUGGGCGCAAGCCUGAUCCAGCCAUGCCGCGUGAGUGAUGAAGGCCCUAGGGUUGUAAAACUCUUUCGUGGGGGACGAUAAUGACGGUACCCCAAGAAGAAGCUCCGGCUAACUUCGUGCCAGCAGCCGCGGUAAUACGAAGGGGGCUAGCGUUGUUCGGAUUUACUGGGCGUAAAGCGCGUGUAGGCGGGCUGGAAAGUUGGGGGUGAAAUCCCGAGGCUCAACCUCGGAACUGCCUCCAAAACUUCCAGCCUGGACUCAAGCAGAGGCAAGUGGAAUUGCGAGUGUAGAGGUGAAAUUCGUAGAUAUUCGCAGGAACACCAGUGGCGAAGGCGACUUGCUGGGCUUGUAGUGACGCUGAGACGCGAAAGCGUGGGGAGCAAACAGGAUUAGAUACCCGUGUAGUC
rnacentral:rRNA from 1 species